rnacentral:rRNA from 1 species
UACGGAGGGUGCAAGCGUUAUCCGGAUUCACUGGGUUUAAAGGGUGCGUAGGCGGGCAGGUAAGUCAGUGGUGAAAUCUUCGAGCUUAACUCGGAAACUGCCAUUGAUACUAUUUGUCUUGAAUAUGGUGGAGGUGAGCGGAAUAUGUCAUGUAGCGGUGAAAUGCGUAGAUAUCGGGAGGAACACCUGUGGCGAAAGCGGCUCACUGGACCAUAACUGACGCUGAUGCACGAAAGCUGGGGGAGCAAACAGG